rnacentral:tRNA from 1 species
GGAAGGGCCAUGACUCAGUGGUAAAGAAUAUGCUUCGCAUGCAAAAGAUCCCAGGUUCAACUCCUGGCAUUUCCA